GACGGUUAGGUCCUUACAGGUGUAUUAGCUCGCUAGCUUCUUCAGAACUGAAUGGAAAAUGUCGGACUGGGAGGAGGACGGCGACGAGAACGCAGCUAAACUGACUCCGACUAAAUGGAAGCCUCCGACUGACGUUCCUCAAAAUGGAAAUGUUUCGUUCGGUGUACGCAAUAGAAAUAAAUUCGGAGCUCGGCAGCAGAGUGGAGAGGACAAUGGUGGCGGGAGACUUGACUGCCAAAGUGGGCUAAAUGAAGGCCGCUUUUUUAACCGGAGCUCUGAGCGACGAAACACUGGACGGCGUUUUUUGGGGGCUGACAAGUCAGACUCUGCCGUCACUAUCACCGUGGAAAAUGGCAUGGUGGGGAGAAUCAUCGGCCGUGGAGGAGCUAAAAUCCGUGAACUAGAGGAGAAUACUGGUGCAAGUAUAAAGAUCAAUAAGGGAGAGUAUGAGGGCCAGGUGGUCAUCCUUGGACCUCCUGUUGCCCAGCAGAAAGCCAAAGAGAUGAUAGAAGAGCUGGUGGCAGACAGCAACUCUCGAUUCCACAGUGCUUCCUCAAGAGGAGGAGGCUAUGCAAGAGGAGGGGCUGGAGGCGAAAGGGCCGGUUCCGUCUGGUCCAGUUCACAAUUAGAGGCUUCGCAUGUUGCCCCGCCACGUGUGUCCAUAGACUGGAGCAGCAUUCGAGAGAACAAGCAGAAGUAUGAAGAGUUGAAGUGGAAAGACUUGCCACCCAUGAAGAAAAAAUUUUAUGCAGAGGCUGAGAGCGUUUCCCUCCUCACAUCAGAAGAAGUUCGUGACUGGAGGAAGGAGAACAACAAUAUUUUUGUGGAUGACCUAAUAGACAACGGGAAGAAGCGCCCCAUCCCCAAUCCCUGUCGGACCUUUCUGGAAGCCUUUGAACUUUAUCCAGAGAUCAUGGAGAACAUCGAACGGGUUGGCUUCGUCAAGCCAACCCCCAUUCAGUCUCAGGCGUGGCCGGUGCUGCUGAGCGGAGAGGACCUGAUCGCCAUCGCUCAGACGGGAACAGGGAAGACAUUGGCCUACCUGCUCCCGGGAUUUAUCCACAUGGAUGGACAGCCCGUUCCUCGCUGUGAGCGGGAGGGCCCAGGCAUGUUGGUGCUGACCCCCACCAGAGAGCUGGCCCUACAAAUUGAAGAGGAGUGCAGCAAGUAUCGUUACAAAGGCUACAAGAGCAUCUGCAUCUACGGCGGCGGGGACAGGAGGGGUCAAAUCAAUCAGGUGAAAGGCGGCGUGGACAUUGUGAUUGCCACGCCAGGACGACUAAACGAUCUACAAAUGAAUGAGCUCAUCAGUCUUCACUCCAUCACCUACUUGGUUCUAGAUGAAGCAGACCGUAUGCUUGACAUGGGCUUCGAACCCCAAAUUAUGAAGAUUCUGCUUGACAUCCGUCCUGACCGACAAACUGUAAUGACCAGUGCUACCUGGCCUACCGGUGUGAGACGUCUGGCCAAAUCUUACCUCAAAAAUCCCAUGAUGGUAUAUGUUGGUACCUUGGACUUGGCUGCUGUAGAUACUGUGCAGCAGACGGUGCUGGUUGUCCAUGAAGAAGACAAAAAGUCCUACCUUUUUGGCUUCAUCAGAAACAUGCUGCCCGAGGAUAAAGUCCUAGUCUUUGUUGGCAAGAAGAUCGUGUGUGAUGACUUGUCCAGUGACAUAUGUCUAAAUGGUCUGGCUGUGCAAAGUCUCCAUGGCGACCGUGAGCAGUGGGAUCGGGAGGAGGCACUCAAGGACUUUAAAGAGGGUCGAGUUCGUAUCCUGGUAGCAACAGACUUGGCAUCCCGAGGGUUGGAUGUCCAUGACAUCACACAUGUGUUCAACUUUGACUUUCCGCGAAACAUUGAAGAGUAUGUGCACCGCGUGGGUCGUACCGGACGAGCAGGACGCUCUGGAGCUGCUGUUACCUUGGUAACAAGAGACGACUGGAGGAUGGCACCUGAGCUGAUUCCCAUCCUGGAGCGGUCAGGGCAGGACAUCCCGGUGGAACUGAUCCAAAUGGCAGACAGAUAUGAGAAGCACAAGAGGGAGAAGGAGAUGUACAGUCCAAAGGAUGGAGGUGGUAGAGAUGGACGACGAGGAGGCAGGGAUGGAGGACGAGGUGGCAGAGACUCCCGCCAAAAUUGGAGAUUCUAACAGUCUUCCUCUUCACAGUUUUGUAUGGACGAGAGUGAGUGUUCCAAACAAGUCUUCAAUGAAGAACGUGACAGAAGCUGAAGACUGACCUUGUAAUUUGUGUUUAGUUUGCACGUUAUCUUUGUCUAUAUGACUGACAAACUCAUUUAGUUAGCGACCAUUAUGUUGGCAUUCAGUCUGUUGUAGCUGCACCAGUUCCCGUUUGUAUAUAUUUUAGUUUACAUCCCAUAUUAUUCUGUUUAAUAAAGACACAUUUUAUUACUUGCA